rnacentral:rRNA from 1 species
AUACGUAGGGUGCGAGCGUUGUCCGGAAUUACUGGGCGUAAAGAGCUCGUAGGUGGUUUGUCGCGUCGUCUGUGAAAUUCCGGGGCUUAACUCCGGGCGUGCAGGCGAUACGGGCAUAACUUGAGUACUGUAGGGGAGACUGGAAUUCCUGGUGUAGCGGUGAAAUGCGCAGAUAUCAGGAGGAACACCGGUGGCGAAGGCGGGUCUCUGGGCAGUAACUGACGCUGAGGAGCGAAAGCAUGGGUAGCGAACAGGAUUAGAUACCCUGGUAGUCCAUGCCGUAAACGGUGGGCGCUAGGUGUGGGGGUCUUCCACGACUUCUGUGCCGUAGCUAACGCAUUAAGCGCCCCGCCUGGGGAGUACGGCCGCAAGGCUAAAACUCAAAUGAAUUGACGGGG